CAUCCUGCGACACCGAACCUUGCCUUCGCAGCAUGGACAGUAACCAAUGAGGCAGGGGCGGGGGAACCACUUUUGAUAGGCAAUCCAGCCUGUCUUGGGGUGAAGCCCAUCCACAGUACAACUCAUUUCUGACGCAAUCCGUUGGGUUGCGUCAUGACCUGAGCUGUGCCAAAAGCGUGGGCCGGAUCAACUGCAUGACUCUCUGAUCCGAAUCCGACAGCUAACUUCGCAGGUGCUUUAUAGAGAGGUUUU
rnacentral:sRNA from 2 species